rnacentral:rRNA from 1 species
UGAGUAACCUGCCUCAAAGAGGGGAAUAGCCUCCCGAAAGGGAGAUUAAUACCGCAUAAUAUGUUUAAGUCGCAUGACUUUAACAUCAAAGGAUUUUCUUUUAGAAAUUCCACUUUGAGAUGGACCCGCGGCGCAUUAGCUAGUUGGUGAGGUAACGGCUCACCAAGGCAACGNUGCGUACG